ACUUUAUAACGCUACUUUAAGCACCAAACCUAAGAACGCGUACUUAUUUUAUGACGAGUUCUGUGACUACAGAACGAUAUACGAAGAUGGCACCUGCGUCCUAGCUAAGAAUUGGAAAGAAAUCAAUAGUACUCUGUUAAGUUCUACGAACUUAUGUGAUAUUUUCUUCAGAUCGAUUACUUCAGAACCCCGUGGUGGUUCGUUGGACAACCUGCUAAUUACCGUGACUGGUGCCCGUUUCAAGCAUGUAUUUAUAGCGAAUCACC